rnacentral:misc_RNA from 1 species
GUACCUUCUGGAAGUAGGGGGAGACAUUUCGAACUGCAAUACCUGCCCUUUCAGAUGCCUUUUUGCUCUUCUUUGAUGAUUUCUUUUGCCCACCAUUGCUGUCAGUUAAGCUGCUACCUGUAGAUUCCUUCUCUUGAUUGGGCACCUUCCAGAAGUAGGGGGAAACAUUUACUGUAAGACCAGCUCUUUGACAUGAUUUUUUGGUCUUCCUUGACGACUUAUUCUGCUCAUCUUCGCUGUUAGUCAUGCUGCUAUCUGCAGCUCUUUCUUCCUUGAGUACCUUCUGGAAGUAGGGGGAGACAUUU